CUCGCGGUAUUACCUUCCAAGGUUUAUUGACAAGGUAAUUAACCAGAUGGGACCACUGUUGUAUUCACCCCGAAGAGGCACUACGCUUCUCACGGUUUUUCUCGCGUGGACAUCCGAACGACCAGUGAAAACCAGUUGUGUGCGUGGCUGUAUUCCACAACACCGAUCCUGUUAAAGCUUUCUACCAUGACAUCUGCUUCCCGCUCUUGAGUACGUAAUGCUGUGAUGGCGGCAACCAUUAACGUCAUCAAACAUCGUUGAUAGAGUUUCGAAACCGGAAGAGGAAUCAUGGCGCCCAACAGUGAACUCAGCUGAAUAUUACUUCAUUGGCUCAACUUUUUCAUGUGCAUCCCAUUGGGAGAUGGUGUAGGCUGUGCAUGGGUAUGUGCUCAUGAACACAUGCACGUGUGUGUGUGUGUGGGAGCGGAUGAACUUUGUGAAUGAAAACUCUUUCUCGUGAGCUGCCGACGGGAGGUGAGAUCAUCUUGUUGAAAUAGAGAACCCCCCUCCCCCCUCCGACAAACCCCUUGCAUCCGCCCACCUAUACUGGUUGGCGCCAUCCUUAAUGAAUCCUGUCAGGGGGCGAAACACAAACCUGAUGACAACAUCGUCCAAUACCAGCUGCCCCCAAAAGAAGAGGAAGGGAUCACACCCGUGUGUACGUUCACGCAGACAUACAUAAGCACACGUUCACAUAGAAACACAUUUCUGCUGUUUUGCUCUCACCGGGAAUCUGAAAGGACGUCUGCGGUAUUCCGCCGUUGGCUUUCAGUCAAAAUGUUGUCGGAGCAGAGAGCCAAUUAUCUUUGCUUCUUUUGUUCACGUUCCCUCUAGGACCAAAGUUGAGUGGAUUAGAUGAUUGGCCACCUAUUCAGCAGUGUGUGAGUGAAAGUGACAAAGACUAACACAAGGGGCUCUCGAUGAGGAUCCAUAAAUAGGCCCUCCACAGAGCCAGAAACAGCCCCCCCCCCCCCUCGUCAUUACUACACCCAACCACACACACACACACACACCUCUACCUUCCCCCUUAUCUGAUAAUCUGUGACCAUUUGGCAGCGGGCCUGUCACAGCACACGUUACACUCCCAGCCAAACGCACGGCAUUCCCCCUUGACGUCCUUCAAUGCAGGCGUCUCUAUAAUUCCUUCCUACAGAUUAUGAGCAUGUUGCCAAACAAUGCAGUGUUUUACAUCAGCCAGUUGGUUGGAUACCACAUAAGGUCGUGCAGUCAUUAAUUCAGUAUUCUGACUGAAGCGCUGUCGGGUGCGCGUUCUCUCUCAGAUGGUCACGUAUGCAGCGGGAAUUGUAUGUGGCAGGAGAACGCACGCAGCUCUUUCUGAAUCCCCAGUACAGUCUUUGAAGAUCAACGAGUGUCCCGUUGAAUUAAUAUAUGUACUGUAUACAGCUUUUUCUACCGUCACUUUUCAGAUAUGAGUUGGGGGUUCUUUUUGAUAAGGAGUGAUACCCUGCAGCAUUCAGUCUGGGCUUGUUGUUACCACAGCAGAAGCAGAAGCGGUACAGGGCCUCAGAGGACUGAACUUCUCCGACAACGAGCCGUCCUCCAACUACCAGCACUGAUGAAUAAAUCAUGGAGAAAGUUUUAAGAAGAAAGAAAUAGAAUAGAGGAGUGUUGCUCCAUUCAGAUCGCCUUAAGACAGAAUUCUAGAAAUGGAUGGCAUGAAAUAGCAAGAAUGAUUAAAAGCUGAUUUUCGCCCUAUUUCAUGUUAUAUUAAAACUAGCAUUAAACAUUCAUAAACCACAGUAUACUCGGCAAGGCAUUCUUGAAUAUCCAUUUGGGGACUUGAAGAUAAUGUUUUAUCAGAUUGUGAAAAUCAUUUAAAAGUCAUUUAAAUUUAACGUUUUCUCUGAGAGCGUCCCGCUGAGAUGGGUGUAACAACAUGUUGUAAAGAAAAUAAGCAUUAAACAUUUAGUCGCUUUCGUAAUACAGGUCCAUUGCGAUUUUGUCUUCCUCUUUGUUUAUUUGGCCAGGCUGCAUGUGGAGGAAGAGGCCCAGAGUGACUCAAAUAUGUACAAAUGAAAACAAAAGCACA
ensembl:lncRNA